AUUGAACGCUGGCGGCAGGCCUAACACAUGCAAGUCGAACGAGUGGCGGACGGGUGAGUAAUGUCUGGGAAACUGCCCGAUGGAGGGGGAUAACUACUGGAAACGGUGGCUAAUACCGCAUACCAUCGGAUGUGCCCAGAUUGGAUUAGCUAGUAGGUGGGGUAACGGCUCACCUAGGCGACGAUCCCUAGCUGGUCUGAGAGGAUGACCAGCCACACUGGAACUGAGACACGGUCCAGACUCCUACGGGAGGCAGCAGUGGGGAAUAUUGCAAAAUGGGCGCAAGACUGAUGCAGCCAUGCCGCGGGUAUGAAGAAGGCCUUCGGGUUGUAAAGUACUUUCAGCGAGGAGGCGGGAAACGAAGAAGAAGCAUCGGCUAACUCCGUGCCAGCAGCAGCGGUAAUAG
rnacentral:rRNA from 1 species